UACGUAGGGUGCGAGCGUUAAUCGGAAUUACUGGGCGUAAAGCGUGCGCAGGCGGUUUUGUAAGCCAGAUGUGAAAGCCCCGGGCUCAACCUGGGAAUGGCAUUUGGGACUGCAAGGCUGGAGUGUGGCAGAGGAGACUGGAAUUCCUGGUGUAGCAGUGAAAUGCGUAGAUAUCAGGAGGAAUACCGAUGGCGAAGGCAGGUCUCUGGGCUGACACUGACGCUCAUGCACGAAAGCGUGGGGAGCAAACAGG
rnacentral:rRNA from 1 species